UAACCGUUAGGCCACGCGCGCGCUGCCUACUUGGCCAGCUGCGCGCGCGGCAUAGUGCAUGUUGUGACGCUGAUCUAGACCAGGUGUUUCCAAAACCCGGCCCGCGGGCACGAUCCGGCCCUCAGAAGUCUUCCGACCGUCCCGUGGCUGGCCGCGGUUCUUCCAGUGAAGCCCGGCCCGCGGCCCCCUUCCAGCAGAACCGCUGCUUCCGGUGCAAAAUGAAGUGCAUGUAAAGAAAACGCGCUCUAAAUGCGAAAAAGCAGAUACCAGAAGACGAGAGAAACUGCAUGGAUAGAAGAAGCUGGGAAGGAGAAGCGAAUGCUUCGUUGUGCACACCAAGGUCACGAAUGUUUUCCAGGACUUCAAUGUCGACUAUCCUCGUAGAUCCUAAAAGUUUAAGACGCUGCCGGCAACUGCAAACUAAAGUCUCUCGGUAAAAUUCACGCUUUCAAGUACCGCCAACCAUUGUUGUGGAAAAGCCCAAGACACGCGCCAGGAGCGGGUGCUGUGCCGCCAUUCGCUUCCAAGAGCAGCCCAUUUCAGUGCUGCGCCGCCAUCUGCUUCCAAGGGCCGCUCGAGGCACGGGCCUCGUGCAUUGGCGCAUUUGAGGUUAUUUGCAAGACAAACGCUAAUACA